rnacentral:rRNA from 1 species
UACGGAGGGUGCAAGCGUUAUCCGGAUUCACUGGGUUUAAAGGGUGCGUAGGUGGGUUGGUAAGUCAGUGGUGAAAUCUCCAGGCUAACUUGGAAACUGCCAUUGAUACUAUCAAUCUUGAAUACCGUGGAGGUCAGCGGAAUAUGUCAUGUAGCGGUGAAAUGCUUAGAUAUGACAUAGAACACCAAUUGCGAAGGCAGCUGGCUACACGAAUAUUGACACUGAUGCACGAAAGCGUGGGGAUCAAACAGG